rnacentral:snRNA from 1 species
GGCAUGAGGGCGAUCUGGCUGUGACAUCCAUCGCCCCAUUGAUCGCCAGGGUUGAUUCAGCUGAUCUGGCUGGCUGGGUGGGUGUUCCCUCCCUCCCUCACAGAGCCAUGUGCGUCCCUCCAGAAGCUGCACUGGGUGGAAGAGGAUGACCUUCCCCGAAUGGAGAAGGACUGGUGUUCAGUCAAGGGUAUACAAGUAGCUGCGCUCCCCUGCUAGAACCCCCAAAUAAGCUCUCAAAUAAAAUUAAUUAAUUAAUUUAAAAAAUAAAAAAAAAUACAUUUGGGGGCUGGAGAGAUGGUUUAGCAGUUAAGCAUUUGACUGUGAAGCCUAAGGACCCCAGUUCGAGGCUUGAUUCCCCAG